UUUUUUUUUCACACUCAACAUGUUUCCCUUGUGUAUCAAGAAUGGUCUGCCACCCAAAGGACAUCCAGCCAACUUGACACAACUGUGGGAAGCAUUGUAGUCAACAUGGGCCAGCAUUCCUGUGGAACGCUUUCGACACCUUGUCCAUGUCGCGACGAAUUGAGGUUGUCCUGAGGGGAAUAGGAGACAUGCCUACUGUGGACAGACCACAAGGAAUUGCCUCAACCAUUGCUGUGGCCAGCAUAUCAGCCCAGGAAUGACCUGAUGGAGAGUGUCCUGCUUGGACAAAUACCGGUAGCCCAAAACCCUGUGGAAGAGGUCGUCUGGCUGCCAACAUUACCCCCAUCCCAACACCCAGCAAGGAGGUCUGCAGUGAUGUGGUUCAAGGACCCUUGGGGGGGCUUUUCUGACCCCCCCCGACUCACCCACUAUCCAUGGACAUGGUCCUACUACUUAAUACAAACACUCAUGUAACGUCAGUCGUUAACUUCUGGUUAUUAUCACACUGUAGCAUUUUUUUUUUUUAUUUAUUUUUUUUUUUUUUUUGCAUACCUACUUAUACUAUUUCACCUGUUAUUGAGAUGAGUUGUGUGAGUGCCUUGUCUAUACUGUCUGGUACUUUACGGACAUUGAUAUGUAAAAAUAAAUGAUUGUCUUUUCCGG